CCCCUCUCAGGGCUGCACCUGGAGAGUUUCCAGUACUCUACCAGUCUUGAUGCUGGGAGGGAGAGUCAAGCAGGGGCAAACCCAUUCCAUUGCUAGCUUGGCCAGUGGCUAGCGAGUGGAAGGCAGUCUGCUACAAAU